rnacentral:tRNA from 1 species
CAAGAAAUAGUUUAAUUAGAAUGCCAGUUUUGGGUACUGGUGGAGGGGUUUGUUACUUCUUUCUUGA